GUAGGUGGCAAGCGUUGUCCGGAAUUAUUGGGCGUAAAGCGCGCGCAGGCGGUUCUUUAAGUCUGAUGUGAAAGCCCACGGCUCAACCGUGGAGGGUCAUUGGAAACUGGAGAACUUGAGUACAGAAGAGGAAAGCGGAAUUCCACGUGUAGCGGUGAAAUGCGUAGAGAUGUGGAGGAACACCAGUGGCGAAGGCGGCUUUCUGGUCUGUAACUGACGCUGAGGCGCGAAAGCGUGGGGAGCAAACAGGAUUAGAUACCCUGGUAGUCCACGCCGUAAACGAUGAGUGCUAAGUGUUAGGGGGUUUUCCGCCCCCCUUAGUGCUGCAGCUAACGCAUUAAGCACUCCGCCUGGGAGCACGGCCGCAAGGCUG
rnacentral:rRNA from 1 species